AGAAGGUACUCGAAUGCUAACAGUGAUAUUGCUGUUGCGAUACGCUUUCUUCCGUCGUGCCCUGUUGCGUCUUCUGCCAAAAUGAGCGGUCGUGAAGAGAGCAUGCUGAGGCGGCGAAUUCUGCACCCGGCAUCUGCUGUGCUGAGGGGCAGUGAACAAGUGUACAGACAUGCACUCCUGCCAAGGUAUAAGCGCCGGAAGUCGUGGAUGCAUUUGCUGAGUGGCAUCGUUCUCCUUGUGUACGGCGCCUUCCCCGCUGCCUUUUACUUCUCUGGAUGGUUCAGAAGGUUCCUCAUCUUUGGGCAUUACCUAAAUUGGCCGCCCAUGAUGAACUUGACGGAUACAUACAGCUACGAGCUCCCUUGCACAAGGGCAUUCUUUCUGGAAUCGGCAAAUGGUGUCAUGCUUGGAGCUUGGCACAUCGUACCAAAGACUCAGUGGGGCCGCUGUGCUGCUGGCAUCAAAGAAGAGUCGGAAUUUGAAGACAACAGGCCAGUCAUCAUAUACUAUCAUGGUCAUGCGGAAACACGUGCUGCCGACUACAGGGUUCAGCUUUAUAGAAGGCUUUCAGAAAGUGCAAUUGAUGCCCAUGUGGUCACCUUUGAUUAUCGGGGCUUUGGAGACUCUACAAAUAUUAUGCCCAGCCGCAGUGGCGUAAUUGAAGAUUCGCUAGCUGUCUACAGAUGGGUUAAAGAGAGAGUGCCAAAGUCGAGGGUUAUUGUCUGGGGCCACUCCUUGGGCACAGGUGUUGUGAUGCAGCUUGCAGAGAUCUUCACUGACACGAAUGACAAUCCUGCAGGAAUUGUCCUGGAAGCACCGUUCAACAGUCUCGUGGAAGCUGCGCUGCGGUGGCCCCUGGGGUUGCCCUUUCGAUACUUGCCUGUGUUCAAACACCUAGCACAGCCACUGCAGAGUGAGGACACAAACUUCGAGUCGGAGCAGAAGGCUGGCAAGCUGAAUGCCCCUGUGUUGAUCAUGCACUGCAGAGAUGAUCCUCUCGUACCUUACGACCUUGGUCAGAAGCUGCUCUUUCACAUCCAAGCAGAUAGGCCAGCUCAUCUGCCUGCUCCAGUGUUCUACGAGGUGGGCAAGGGUGCUGGGCAUCGACGAAUUUACAAAGACCCCAGGUUUCCAUCUGUGGUCUCUGCUUUCAUCCAAAGCAUUACAAACUGAUUUCCUGCCAUAGCCGUCUCAGUUGAGAACUUAAGGCCACAGUCAUCUAUUGGUCACAUGGUCUUUAGUAGCUGCUGCUUCUACACGGUUGGCACUUUUCAUAGGUUGCAUUUAGCAUUUUAGCACUUUAGAAUU
rnacentral:misc_RNA from 1 species